UUUUGGGUAGAGGAUUUUGGUAUCGAUUGCGAGGAAAAGCAAAUCAUGCUCCUGCUGAUAAAUUCAAUGAUCAAGAUUUCAGUAACAGCAUGUUUUGUUUUUCCUCCGCAAUUGAUACUGACAUAUCCUGCCGAGGA
rnacentral:pre_miRNA from 1 species